GCGCCUGGCCAUGGGUUGAAGUUUUUAAAUGCAUGUUUUCUGGUAGUUAAUUGCCUGAUUCUGUCUUAUAAUUGCAUUUCAGUUCUCUUCAUCUUGUCCAUACACGUAAUAAUGCUUAGUAUAUGAAUUUUAUGUAAUAAAGCAAGGUAUAUUUUCAUGGGAUUUUUUGUAGUGGGAGAAUGACAUCUGAGCCUGAAAUAGGAUAUUUGUGUUGUAACUUUUUCAGUGUCAUACGAUACCAUUUUUGACCACUUAGUUGAUGCCUCUGAAAGGAAGAGAGAAUCAGAUCGCUAAAAUUUGAUGUGUCGUCAGUGUGGAUCCUACUCAGUAGUGUCACAACGAGGCUGAAAAUCAUAUUAAGUGCUUUUAGGACAGAAACGUAAACUGCUCAGGUAAAAUAACCUUGUAAAGAGAAAUAAGCAUAUAUUGCAGAGGCCUUGGCUAGGUUCAUGAUGACACAGGACCUUGUCUGAACAUAAUGAUUUCAAAAUUUGAGCUUAAAAAUGACACUCUGAAAUCCAGUCAGUGUGCCUCACUAGACUUUUCGAUUUCAAAAUUUUCUGCAGAAAAUGCUGUGAAAACUUUGAAUACUUAAAAAUGGCAGGUGUAGUAUUGCACUUUGCUAGUUGCUCAGAUACCCUUUUUUAUUUGUAUAGAUAUUCUGAGUUCCUUUUUUUUCCUACAUGUUGUACAUUGUCGAAAGCUAAAAGGAAACUUACCCUUGGAUCACGGAAGGCAGAGGCACUUGGUGAGAUGGAAACAAGGAUGUGUAAAAAUGAGACUACCACUUCUCGGAUAAAAAAAAAGUGCCAGAGUUCUAGGGUUCUAAGUGAUGCCCAGGAAGGAGGAGGAAUAAUAUUUACGGAGCAUAUAUUAUGGAACACACAUCUACUUCUCGUGGAUUUACAUAUGUUGGGUUUCGGAAAUUUCAACAUACAGUUUGGCAUUCCAGUGGCUAUAGUUGUUUUUUGAAAUUUAGUACUGUUUUCCAAUGAUGAUUCUCUUUGAGAAUAGACUGUGUUCUCUUUUACUUAAAAACUGUAAAAUUAGCCACUUCAGUUGAGACUCCUCCAGGUUUGGAAGUGGUGAAGAAUAUGGAUAUAUUCAGGUCAAAUCAGUCAUUCUCUGUGGUACAGCAACUGAACAAGAAACCCAGACUUCAAACAAGCAGACUUCUUUGGGUUGGACUGAAUAAAAUGAGAAGAAAUUACAGAGGAUUUAAAAAUAUAUGUGGCCUAGGAAUUAUUGAAAUUAUUUUGGAGGGUGGCAACCAAUUUGGGACAUUGUACAUUUUGUUUUAAUGUCAAUUGUGUAAUGCGUAACUCUAGUGAGCAUGGCUGGACACCGUGGCUUCACAUUUUAGGUAGACUGGGUGUUUUAUCUACUGAGUGAAUUACAGCCUUAGACAAUGAUGUCAAAGCAGCAACAAAAACCAAAAAAUCCAUCCUUUAGAAAUUGUUUAAGUCACAAUGAUGACACCUUCUUUAAAAGCUUUGACUUACUGAAAUAAUGCUUUUCAUUUGUCUAAGAUGAGUACAUAGCAGAAUUUGGAAAUAUGGUUCCAAAAGGCUAGACUGACUUUUUUGAUGUUUUUCACUUAUAGGGAGAAAGAAACAUUAAUGGUUUAUCGGAUGCCUUGACUGUACUUUUUACUGCUUUGUCUUCAAGGCCUAGUGUAAUAAUUAGCAUCUAGUAAAUGUUUGAUGGAUAGUCAAUUUUUGUUUCAUUGGUAUGUUGUUACCACAAUCAUUGGUAGAGUCAAUACAUGAAUGAAGAAAGUAUAACAAAUUUGCCCUCUAGUAGAGUACAGGCAAAGUAUGACUGUCAGUUUCACCCUGAUUUUUUUUCCUCCAUUCUUUGUUAGGGUUUAGGUCAAGAACAAGGGCAUUUCAUUGUACCACAUAGCUGAGAGUAGGGAAUUGGGACAUACUGUCUUGCUUUAAAUUAAAGUUGUCUGUUUCAUCAAGUAGAGAGGUUCCUAAGAUACUGUCAGAUUUCUGGCUGGGAGUUUGUUAAAAAUAGAGAAAAGGUAGUUCCUUAAGGUUGUAUUUUAUUGGAUGCCUCCACCUGCUUCAGGCUAGCUCACUGGAGAAUAAAUAUUCCAGGUUAAAAAAAAAAGCAUGUGUUCACAUGAACUUGUCCUUUGAGCAAACUUGUUGGAAAUCAAGAGGGCAUUGCUGUUGGAGAGGAUAAGAGGGUGUACUUGUUGGUGUGUUAAGAGUAGUUGACAACAUAAAAAUAAAUGUAAAUGCAUCUAUUAUAUUUGGGUUGGCAAAAUAUAUUGGUUAUUGACUCUGUUGAUUCCUGUAGUGUACAUAACUAUGAUCUACAACUCAGUGUAAACAAAAAGGCUUGAAAAAUUGUUCUGAAAAUGGACAAAUCAUGAACAGAUAAUUGAACGAGAAAAUAAGCAGAAAGUAAAUUUGUAAAAUAUUUCAAACUCAUUUACAUUCAGAAACAUCUUUUUAAGAUCACUGUGAUACAUUUGACUGUCAAUUCUGGAGAGACGUAUAAAGGAGAUGCCAGCUAAGGAGCAAGGAAACAGCUUUCAUUCAUGGGCUAAAUUGCAGCUUAAAAAAGAUGGACCAGGAUUAUUUCCUUUAGAAACUUACUGUACAAAAGAUACUGUUCACUCCAUUAGAUCUGGAGUUACUCUUCCAUCUGAGGGCUUUGUCAUCUUAACUGUAUUCACAUACUUUGAACUGCUCCGUUUGCUUCUAACCUCAGAUUCUUUAAUUCAUCUAUCCGGCAGAGCUGAUUUGGGGAAAACAAGACAAACCUUGUCAGGUUCUCUUAAUAAAUAAGCAGUUGUCAUGUUUCAAGAGCUUUAGAAAUGAGCAAUAAUCAAGGAAGAGGACAACGAUUGCCUACAUUUAUAAUAUUUAGAACAUCUUUUGCCACAGUAAACACUGGAAACCACCCACUUGUGGACACCAAACAUUUGGAUUAGUAUAUUUUGUGGCAUUCCCUCACUCUAAUCCUCUCAUCCUUAAAAAUUUUCAGAAAUUUUUACAGCAAGAAACACUGAUUGUAGCAUAUGAUUUAGGGUAGAUUUGUGAACCAUUUUUUCACUGAAGUACAUCAACAGGAGUGAGUAGUCUGAGUGACCACCCCAGCAUGGAGAAAAUUGUAGUUUACAGAUUCAUCUGGGGUAUUUUUAUUUCUAGGCUGCGGUGGAAGUCUAAACCCCCUUGGAGAUGUCUGCCUUAAAGGGUCUUUGGCCAGCAUCCACUGUAGAGCCAUAGUCCAGAUCUACUCUAUUUGCAUGCUCCUUACAGCAUCAGAACAGCAACUCUCAAUCCGGAUUCAUCCCCAAAAUGCCAUCUGAGUCAUAGAUUGGCAGGUGCAUAAAGAAUUAUCUACUGAAUUGAAAAACAUUUCAAAUAUAUAAAACUUGAAAUAUUUUGGGUAGUCUGUACAAACUCAAGUUGACAAGCCAACCCUGCAGGGGAAGGAUAACAUUUGUUGAAUUCAGCUAGAUGCCUCAUCAGCUAGAAAACCUUGGAAGAAAGAAAGAUUGAUACUUGCCUGAACUUCAUCAACCAAGAAUAUUUUUUUCUUGAUGUGGAGAGUCCACUCGCCUUUUGAAGAUUUACCAGUAAAAGCCCUUCACAUGAUAUGCUUGUGUGCACAUGCAAUAAGGACAUCAUUCCCCAACUCCUCCUAGCAUUGUGAAAGAGCUCCAAAUAUUCAAAUAAUAUAAACUUUUUUUCGUGGACAUUUAGCUUACGAGUUUGUUUAAAUAUGGGAAAAUUAUGUUUGGAUAAUAGUAUUGAAAUGAAAAUAUAAGAUACACAUUGAAUGAUAAAUGUGUAUGAAUUGUUCAUUGUGCCUUAGGUAAGCCAGACAGUGAAAUUAAAUGUGUAAUAGUUGUAUUUUUUUGCAUAAUCUUAGAAUGUAAUUAGUUAAAAGCAAACACUUAGAUUUUGAACAUGAAUCUAUUAAGCUUGUUAAUGUAGUUGCUGUGGCUAAAUAACUGGUUUCCUAGGGAAGCUUCUAUUUGGUAGAAUUUUAUUCUGGAACAGUUGUUAGAAAGGAAUUCUCAGGUCACCUUUUAAGGAUAUACACAAUUCUCUAUUCACUUUUUGAGUGCAUAAGGGUAAUAGAAAAUGAUAUGGGAAGUGUUAAUUAGAAAAAAAGGCAUUUUGUUUAUGUGCAUUUGAGGAUACAGUGUAUGAAGUUUCUAAAUAAUUGUUUUAUGACAUUUUCUUGGUACAUAGAUAUUGCUAACAAUUAGUUUGCUGAAGUAUAUAGAAACAUUUUGAGAAAUGAUUUUAGAAAUCUAAUUGUUAAAGUACCUCUGAGUGAUGUACAUUAAAAAUCCUUUUAUUUUGGUUUAUUGCUAUGGAUGUUUUUCUGGGGGAACUCAAUGUAUACAACUUCUAACUUAGAAGUUUUAUUAAUGCUGCUUUAUGUAUGAAAGUCAUGGAUGUAGAUGUUAUUUUUGUCAGUGGUCUUUCUGUUAAAAUUUAUUUACAUGGUAUAAGAUUUUCUUUUCAUGAUGGAAUUGCCGAAAAAGCCAGCCUCUAGAACACUUACAUGUUAAGGGUUGGGUGGGGUUUGUAUUACUUUGUAUAUAUAACCGACAGGAUUGUGUUACUAAAUCUUAACCAGCAUAGAGAUGGCUGACAUUUUGCAUUUUGGGGGACAUUAAAUUGUUAAACAAUGAUGUCAUUGGUUACUGAUAGGAGUGUCUAGACUCUUAGAUGGCUUUGUUAGUAUUAGGCAAAUAUUAGAUGUGGAUUUAGGAGAUAAGAGGGUGGGGUGUUGGAGCCCUGUGUGCGUAUGAGCAUAUGUUGCAGGGCCUCCAGACCUAAAUCCAUGUGAAGAUGUUGGUGGUGGUCUUACAUAUAUGUUAACAUUACAUUAUAAACAGGUAGACUACUUUCCUUUUGCUAGUGGGAGUGUUAAAUCACCUCUCAGAACAUUAAUUCAUUAAAUUGCCCCUAAACAUUAAUGCAUUGCUGGUGGAUAUGCUUAAUGUUUUUAACAUCUAUUUUUCUAAAUGUAUAGACGUCAUUUUUAAUUCAUAUUGGAUAGAACCAGUUUUGCUUGCAAAAAGCAAACUGCUCAUUGGAUCAUUGUGCUUAAUUUUUAGGUUGUGGUAGAUAUAAUAGAAAUGUUCUUACAAUUUAUAGUAUAAUACUGUAUAUCGCAACAUAAAUAUAUAUGUGACUGUUUUUCUGACAGAUGCAACAUGAUGGAAAUGUCAUCAUAAAUGUUGGUCUGCCUUUGUUUAUAGUUUUCAGAUGUGUAUAUGCAGUUUUUUAUAUAACAGAAAAAUUGCCACAUGAGUCAAAUAGCAUAGGUUAGAAAAGUUCUCAUUUGCCAAAAAAAUGUGACUUUCAUAAUAGUGAGUUGUUUUUGAUUUAAAAUGUUUCUAUCUGUAGAGGCAUUUUAUUAGUUUUUAUGGGGAUACUAGCAAUGGAAUGUGAAACCUGAGUUCAUUAGAUCAUGGGGUGAUAAUGGAACCCUUAUGUGUGUACAAUAUACAUGUAUACAAUAUACAUUGUUAUAUGUUUUUUAAAGCAUAGGAGCUAUUAUGUCUGCAUGUUUCUAAAUAUAUAUACACACACGUAAACACAUAUUUAUAUAUCUAUAUAUAGAUAGAUAUGUACAUACAUAUGUAGUGAAAGAUUUUGUUCCCUCCCUCACAUAGGCAGAUUAUUUAUGUGUAUAAAUAAUUGAGCAGCUGAAGGGGAAUUUUGUUACAUGUGUAUAAAACAGUCACAAUAUAUAAUUGUUUUGCUUUAAUUGUUUAGUCUUUGAUUUGUAGGAAUUGCCGACACGUGUAUUUGUGUGUAUGCAGGUUUAUAUAUACAUACAUAUCACUGUAUAAACAACAUUUAUUGUCAUAGGAUAGAAAUAUUCUUAAGUUGCCAGAGAUAUUGUAUGGAUGCUAAAUAUAUAGUAGAAAAAUGUUACCUUUUGCUUUUUAGCAUCUGCAUACAGAUUACUAAUAGGCAUAUAUUGUGACCAGUAAACCACUAGACAAGGGCAUAAACACUUUAGUUUGAUCAGUAGAAUUGCUAUGCCAUGUUUAUAUGGGAUUUAUUUGGUUGAUGCAGAAUAUAUAAUUAUAUUGUAUAUAGAAGAUACAUAUUACAACAAUAUUUUUGAAUAUGCAAUUUCUGUCAUUUUUUGGAAAUAUAUUUUUAUUCAAAAGUAGAAUCAUUGUUUGCCAAUAGAGUUAGCUUCUUUGUGUGCUUGUGAGGUUUCGUUUUGAGGGUUUUCUUGGUUUUGUUUUGGGUUCUGGAGUUUUAAAAAAUGAGAUUGUCUAAAAAAUUUUUAUAUAAAAAUAUACAUUUUUAUAUAUUUUUUUCUUAUUCCAACCUAAUUGGUGGCUUGUCCCUUCCUGUGUUUAUUGGGCUGUUGGGUGCCUGGAUAGAGCUGGAGGCCAUUCGACUGCUGUGUGAGUAAUAGAUAAGUGUCUUGAAUAACAUCUGAAUUUCCUAGAUAUGUAGAAACACCCACCACGCACAUAUAUGAACAUACAGAAUAUAUGAAUGUUAAAAUAUGGUGAAAACAGUCUUUUGCCAAUAGAAGUGUUAACCUUUAUUUGUUUUUAAAUUUGGUGUGUAUGUAGAGGUUUAUUUGAUUGUUAGUUGUGUCCAUGUAUAAUAUGUCAUCUACCUUUACAGAUGUGCAGAAGUUUGUUGUAUUUAGUGGAUAUAUUUUACUUAAAACUAUAGGGCAGAAGCUUUUUAUGUUUGUUGAAGUGAAAUGGCAUACCCAACCUGUGUGGUAGAGUGGAAUUUUUAGAUUGCUGUGUGUACAGUCAGGUUAUAUCUUUAAAAUACCUAUUAUUUAUAUAUUAAUAUAUAGACAUUGCUGAUAUAUAUGUAUAUAAAAAUCAGAGGUAUUUUUAUUAAUAUAGGCAUUAGCUUCUUGAUUCACUUGUUUGUUGGGAAGCAUGUGGAGAAGGAUGUUGAAUACUUUGUCAUUUCAUUUCUGUGAUAUACAGUUGUCACGUCAACCCUCCUAUCUGUGGGUUUUGCAUCUGCAAGCACAUGCAGCUGGAAAGUACAGCAUUGGCAGAAUCUGAAACCCGAGUAAACAGAGCACUUCAUUUUCAUAACCAUGGGUUCUGAAGAGCUGAGGGAGUUGAGUAUGCACUGAUUUUGGUAUGGGGGUAUGGUACAGGUACAAAUCCCCGAUGGAUAUCGCUAGACAGCUGUACAAUCCUCUUUAGCUUUUUUUUGUUUUAUAGACAGUGUGGACAGGCAUAUAUUGCAAGCAUCACUUUGUUAAACUAUGCUUAACCCUGCAAAUGAUUUUAAGAGCUCUGUGUGGGUGGCUCUCUUGGGUUUACUAUUAAAUAGCUGUGUUUAUCAUAGUUGUUCUAUAACAUUUCAACUUUGUAAAUAUGUAGUUUGUUGAUAAAGAGGAUAGAGACAUUUGUCUUUUGUUGAUAGAUUAUUUUUCCCCUUUGUGUAGAUUGUUUUUUCCCCUUUGCGUAGUCUUCAUUGUGUUGCUGGGAUUGUAAAAGACAAAUUACUUGCACAUAUUUAAGCUUAUAUAUUAAAUGUAUAUAUGCUGUCAUGUUAGAGAGGGAGAGUGGUUCCCUCCCCCACAUUUUUAUUUAAAAGUAAAAAUUAAUUUUUAUUAAA